ACCACUGAAUUUAAGUAUAUUACUUGGUGGAGGAAAAUAAACUAACCAGAAUUCCCUCAGUAACGGUGAGUGAACAGGAAAGAGCCCAGCGCUGAAUCCCCAUCCCGCAGUGGGGUAUGAGAAAUGUGGUGUACAGAAGGCCCACUCUCCCCAGUGCCACUCUCAGGGGCCCAGGUCCUUCUGAUAGAGGCACACCCUGUGGACAGUGUGAGUCCGGUAGCAGCCCCUGGCUUACUGGGACCAGGUCUUCUCGGAGUCAGGUUGCUUGGGAAUGCAGCCCAAAGAGGGUGAUAAACUCCAUCUAAGGCUAAAUACUGACAUGAGACCAAUAGUCAACAAGUACCAUAAGGGAAAGUUGAAAAGAACUUUGAAGAGAGAGUUCAAGAGGGUGUGAAACCAUUAAGGACAUAUAGGUGAUCUAAAUCUUUAAUGCUUGAAUUGGGUUGAAUAAAUGAAUGGUACAUUGACUAAUACAUAAUAAAGGCAUAGGAAAAUGCAUAUUCAUGCACUGAGAGUGAGACAGUCUUGUCACUUUUUAUUUUCAAGAUGGGAAAUGCUAUUCCCCUCCCUCAAUUACUGGACUAAUUCAUACUUUUAAUUAGUUUAACAAUUUUUCAAAGAACU
rnacentral:ncRNA from 1 species